rnacentral:rRNA from 1 species
AUGCCUAGGAAUCUGCCUAGUAGUGGGGGAUAACGUCCGGAAACGGGCGCUAAUACCGCAUACGUCCUACGGGAGAAAGUGGGGGAUCUUCGGACCUCACGCUAUUAGAUGAGCCUAGGUCGGAUUAGCUAGUUGGUGAGGUAAUGGCUCACCAAGGCGACGAUCCGUAACUGGUCUGAGAGGAUGAUCAGUCACACUGGAACUGAGACACGGUCCAGACUCCUACGGGAGGCAGCAGUGGGGAAUAUUGGACAAUGGGCGAAAGCCGGAUCCAGCCAUGCCGCGUGUGUGAAGAAGGUCUUCGGAUUGUAAAGCACUUUAAGUUGGGAGGAAGGGCAGUUACCUAAUACGUGAUUGUUUUGACGUUACCGACAGAAUAAGCACCGGCUAACUCUGUGCCAGCAGCCGCGGUAAUACAGAGGGUGCAAGCGUUAAUCGGAAUUACUGGGCGUAAAGCGCGCGUAGGUGGUUUGUUAAGUUGGAUGUGAAAGCCCCGGGCUCAACCUGGGAACUGCAUCCAAAACUGGCAAGCUAGAGUAUGGUAGAGGGUGGUGGAAUUUCCUGUGUAGCGGUGAAAUGCGUA